CUAAGAAUCUUGCGCAAUGGGGGAAACCCUGACGCAGCGACGCCGCGUGUGGGAUGAAGGUCUUCGGAUUGUAAACCACUGUCGCGAGGGACGAAGCUCUGACGGUACCUCGAAAGGAAGCACCGGCUAACUCUGUGCCAGCAGCCGCGGUAAUACAGAGGGUGCGAGCGUUAAUCGGAAUUACUGGGCGUAAAGCGCACGUAGGUGGCGACGUAAGUCGGGUGUGAAAGCCCCGGGCUCAACCUGGGAACCGCAUUCGAGACUGUGUUGCUGGAGUACGGAAGAGGAGGGCGGAAUUCCCGGUGUAGCGGUGAAAUGCGUAGAUAUCGGGAGGAACAUCAGUGGCGAAGGCGGCCCUCUGGUCCAGUACUGACACUCAAGUGCGAAAGCGUGGGGAGCAAACAGGAUUAGAUACCCAUGUAGUCCCUGAGCGGGCUGGCAAGGCGCAU
rnacentral:rRNA from 1 species